GACGAACGCUGGCGGCGUGCUUAACACAUGCAAGUCGAACGGAAAGGCCCUGCUUUUGUGGGGUGCUCGAGUGGCGAACGGGUGAGUAACACGUGAGUAACCUGCCCUUGACUUUGGGAUAACUUCGGGAAACUGGGGCUAAUACCGGAUAGGAGCUCCUGCUGCAUGGUGGGGGUUGGAAAGUUUCGGCGGUUGGGGAUGGACUCGCGGCUUAUCAGCUUGUUGGUGGGGUAGUGGCUUACCAAGGCUUUGACGGGUAGCCGGCCUGAGAGGGUGACCGGCCACAUGGGGACUGAGAUACGGCCCAGACUCCUACGGGAGGCAGCAGUGGGGAAUAUUGCACAAUGGGCGGAAGCAUGAUGCAGCAACGCCGCGUGCGGGAUGACGGCCUUCGGGUUGUAAACCGCUUUCGCCUGUGACGAAGCGUGAGUGACGGUAAUGGGUAAAGAAGCACCGGCUAACUACGU
rnacentral:rRNA from 1 species